UGGGCACGUAAUCACGCAUGUACGCACACCACGCAGGAGGCACGUACUCAGCCAUGCAUAUAGACAGCCAAGUCAUUAUGAAUCUCGCAUUCUCGAAGACACGCACUGACGACAUCACGCACGUACGCACGCCCUGGCUGCUAGGAGACGCUAUUCCCUUUACCAGGCCCUCAUGCGCGCCAGCCAGCCAGGCCAAGGCCAGGGGAGCUCGAGACUGGCAACCUGGGCGAAGAACCGGAAGGAGGAAAAGGAAACGGAGGGAGAAAGAUGAGAUGCACCUACUUCUCCCUGGAGAAGCUCGAGGAAGCAGGAAUACUGAAGAUGAGACCCAGCACACCCUGCCUGCGCAGCUCUGUGCUGCACCUUCACUCUAGUCACGGGUGUGGCAGUCAGCUCACCAAUUCCUCCUGCUUCCCUGGGACUCGCUGGCUUUUAGCACCGCAAGUCCCUCAGCAAACUGGGACUGUUGAUCACCCUACCCGGCAGCCAGUGAUAAGGUGAGGGCCACUCCUGGGAGGGAGGACACCUGUGGGGAAAAUUCUUGUGUUAUUUAUUUCUCCUUCGGGAUAGGGUGCCUGCAGUGCUUCAUGGGAGGGGGUGGGCUGAUGCUGCAAGCUCAGAAGUUUCAAGGGCAUCUAGGGAGACCAGAUAUUCAGAGACCUUCUCCUAGAUGUGCGUGUUCCAUGUAUCAGGGAUGCAGGUUUUCCCAGCAGGACUCGUGUCAUUGGCAUGCCAGACCUGCCUUGGCUGAGCGUUCAACUGUCUUUGGAGUUCAGCCACCUUAGCAAGUCCUGGGUUUGUUCUUCAGACUUUGCUGCUUGCCCAUUGCUUGGAUUGGGGGCUACUUUGUAAACCACCAGGAAGACUCCAGUGUUUCUGCUUAAUUUUUAGAUGUUUGUUAAUUGCCCUUGGCCUCUCAUUAAUCCCGGUGGGUCCUUCAGGAAACAUACCGUUCCCUGAGUUUUCAUUUCCAGGCAUCUGCCCUGCCUGGAUCUCCUCGCCUUCCAGGAGCUUCCUCUUCACAAGCCGGCCAUCCCAGCAAAAGUUCUAACAUCGAAGGUCUAGCAACUAGCCUGCCAUCUUGUGCCUAGAGCCACCUGCGUGCCACCUACCCCCGAAGAUGGGAACCUCGUUGCCAGUUGGGGAGAUGCAGGGCAAUCCUGUACCAAGACCCCAUCUUACCACCUGUUUUCUCGGACCACUCUGGAACCCACUGUCUCAGAUUGGGUCCUCCAGGAAGCAGACUGUGAGAGGGAGUUGGCAGGACCAAAGGUUUACUGGGGCUAACUAACCCUCAGGAAAGGGACAGGAAGGAAGCAGGGCUGGAGAGCAGGUUGAGCCCGACCUGACAGUCUUGAGCAGCCUAGCAGGGAGGUGUGGAGCAAGGGUUGCCCACUAGAGGGGCCUGCAUUGGGCAUGGGUGGUGGGGUCCACAUGGUACCUGGCACACAGCAGGCUGUGCAAUCCAUAUUAACUGCCUGGAUGAAUUAAUGCCCAGGAAAGGUGCCCUGGAGAACGGGUAUGUGCUGAGCACAAUAGAGAAGGGCCCAGCAUCUGCCUUGGCAUAGGCAGAACUGUCCUGUGCCCUGCAACAGGCCACCCGAGAGCUGCUUUCAUCUUGUGUGUGCAUUAGACAACUGCCAGGGGCAUGAAGGGGAUGUGCUUCCAGGGCAUUUGCUGGCAGGGUGUCUCGUGAUCUCUUGGUAUUGGUGUGAGCACAGCCUGGCAGGAGAGGGCAGAUCUCAGUGCAAAGUAUCAUGUCAAAAAGCAGAUCGAAGCCAGGCCCCCUCCUGGAAGAGGCUCCUUGAAGAUAAUUCUAACAUCUUUGUCAUCAGUGUUGACAUCUCUUGAUUGUAUCCUGUCAUUCCAUUUGAGAUCAUCCUGGUUCUGGCUGGCAUCCUCUGACAUCACUCCAGCAGAAGAAAGGGAAGGAUCAUGCCGCAUUACUGCCUGGUGGAUUUGAGAAGACGUUGAAAUGCCUCCCCUGCUAAGACACGCUCCUCCUUGACAGAGUGGGAACCCUGAAAGCUGUAGUGGCACCACUGCCCUGUCCUGUACCUACCUAUCUUUUGACUCAUUUCCUCCAGGCUCAGGUUUUCAGUUUUGGGUGUGUGCCACCUAAAACUGAGCUGUGGAACUGCAGCACAAUCAUCAAAUUCAAAAAAGGCAAGGACAUCUUGCUCAGAUUUUAAGAUACACCAUAGAUGGAGUAAACUAAAACCUUUGAUUCCAGAUCCUUAACCCCGAUUAAAAACAACACAACCCUUCAUGCCUAUUUAAAACGUCCCCUGCAAAAGAUGGUUUGAAUAUUCCAAGUUGGAAAUACCCAGUCUUUUUAAGUUACAGCACCCUUUUUGAUACAAAAAAUGGGCAUGACAGAAAUUGUAUAGUGAGUAGUGUUAUAAAAAUAACCAAACACACCAAAA